rnacentral:rRNA from 1 species
AGUGAACGCUGGCGGUAGGCCUAACACAUGCAAGUCGAACGGCAGCACAGUAAGAUCUUGCUCUUACGGGUGGCGAGUGGCGGACGGGUGAGGAAUACAUCGGAAUCUACUUUUUCGUGGGUGAUAACGUAGGGCAACUUACGCUAAUACCGCAUACGACCUACGGGUGAAAGCAGUGGAUCUUCGGACCUUGCGCGAUUGAAUGAGCCGAUGUCGGAUUAGCUAGUUGGCGGGGUAAAGGCCCACCAAGGCGACGAUCCGUAGCUGGUCUGAGAGGAUGAUCAGCCACACUGGAACUGAGACACGGUCCAGACUCCUACGGGAGGCAGCAGUGGGGAAUAUUGGACAAUGGGCGAAAGCCUGAUCCAGCCAUACCGCGUGGGUGAAGAAGGCCUUCGGGUUGUAAAGCCCUUUUGUUGGGAAAGAAAAGCAGCAGGUUAAUACCCCGCUGUUCUGACGGUACCCAAAGAAUAAGCACCGGCUAACUUCGUG